AGGAGCCUCUCUCCCGACUGCUGCUACUCGGGACCCUGAGACUGACCCGCAGGACAAACGCGAGACCAUGAAGACCCUGCUCCUCCUCACCACCCUGGCUGCCUUAGCGGUGGCGGCUUUGUGUUAUGAAUCUCAUGAAAGCAUGGAAUCCUAUGAAAUUAGUCCCUUCAUUAACAGGAGAAAUGCUUAUGCCUUUAUAUCCCCGCAGCAGAGAUGGAGAGCUAAAGCCCAAGAGAGG